rnacentral:rRNA from 1 species
UACGUAGGUGGCAAGCGUUGUCCGGAAUUAUUGGGCGUAAAGCGCGCGCAGGCGGUUCUUUAAGUUGGGUGUUAAAGGCAGCGGCUCAACCGCUGUUCGCACCCAAAACUGGGGAACUUGAGUGCAGGAGAGGAUAGUGGAAUUCCCGGUGUAGCGGUGGAAUGCGUAGAGAUCGGGAGGAACACCAGUGGCGAAGGCGACUGUCUGGCCUGCAACUGACGCUGAGGCGCGAAAGCGUGGGGAGCAAACAGGAUUAGAAACCCGUGUAGU